rnacentral:rRNA from 1 species
GGUUAAUUGAAGAUGUGCAAGCAUCGGAUCGAAGCCCCAGUAAACGGCGGCCGUAACAAUAACGGUCCUAAGGUAGCGAAAUUCCUUGUCGGGUAAGUUCCGACCUGCACGAAUGGCGUAACGAUGGCGGCGCUGUCUCCACCCGAGACUCAGUGAAAUUGAAAUCGCUGUGAAGAUGCAGUGUAUCCGCGGCUAGACGGAAAGACCCCGUGAACCUUUACUAUAGCUUUGCACUGGACUUUGAAUUUGCUUGUGUAGGAUAGGUGGGAGGCUUUGAAGCGUGGACGCCAGUCUGCAUGGAGCCAACCUUGAAAUACCACCCUGGCAACUUUGAGGUUCUAACUCAGGUCCGUUAUCCGGAUCGAGGACAGUGUAUGGUGGGUAGUUUGACUGGGGCGGUCUCCUCCUAAAGAGUAACGGAGGAGUACGAAGGUGCGCUCAGACCGGUCGGAAAUCGGUCGUAGAGUAUAAAGGCAAAAGCGCGCUUGACUGCGAGACAGACACGUCGAGCAGGUACGAAAGUAGGUCUUAGUGAUCCGGUGGUUCUGUAUGGAAGGGCCAUCGCUCAACGGAUAAAAGGUACUCCGGGGAUAACAGGCUGAUACCGCCCAAGAGUUCAUAUCGACGGCGGUGUUUGGCACCUCGAUGUCGGCUCAUCACAUCCUGGGGCUGAAGUAGGUCCCAAGGGUACGGCUGUUCGCCGUUUAAAGUGGUACGCGAGCUGGGUUUAGAACGUCGUGAGACAGUUCGGUCCCUAUCUACCGUGGGCGUUGGAAAUUUGAGAGGAUCUGCUCCUAGUACGAGAGGACCAGAGUGGACGAACCUCUGGUGUACCGGUUGUGACGCCAGUCGCAUCGCCGGGUAGCUAUGUUCGGAAGAGAUAACCGCUGAAAGCAUCUAAGCGGGAAGCACGCUUCAAGAUAAGGGUUCCCACAGGAGUGUUCCUGGUAAGGUCCCCGAGAGAUGAUCGGGUUGAUAGGCCAGACGUGGACGCAUCGUAAGGUGUGGAGCUGACUGGUACUAAUAGACCGA